UCCCUGGUUGAUCCUGCCAGUAGUUAUAUGCUUGUCUCAAAGAUUAAGCCAUGCAUGUCUCAGUGCAAGCCGUAUUAAGGCGAUACCGCGAAUGGCUCAAUAUAUCAGUUUUGGUUCCUUAGAUCUUACUCAGUUACUUGGAUAACUGUGGUAAUUCUAGAGCUAAUACAUGCAAUCAGAACUCUGACCAGUGAUGGGAUGAGUGCUUUUAUUAGAUCAAAACCAAUCGACGGAGGGCCUCGCGUCCGAAGUCGUUAAUUUUGAUGAAUCUGGAUAACUUUUGCAGAUCGCAUGGUCAAGUACCGGCGACGCAUCUUUCAAAUGUCUGCCUUAUCAACUUUCGAUGGUAGUUUCUGCGACUACCAUGGUUGUCAC
rnacentral:ncRNA from 1 species